UGGUAAUGCCGGAUGUUCCACAUGAUCGCAUGUGAUUGUGGGAAAGAUUCUAUCGGCGUGGGAUGGGGUCGCGUCCUAUCAGCUUGUUGGUGAGGUAACGGCUCACCAAGGCUUCGACGGGUAGCCGGCCUGAGAGGGCGACCGGCCACAUUGGGACUGAGAUACGGCCCAGACUCCUACGGGAGGCAGCAGUGGGGAAUAUUGCACAAUGGGCGCAAGCCUGAUGCAGCGACGCCGCGUGAGGGAUGGAGGCCUUCGGGUUGUAAACCUCUUUUGUUUGGGAGCAAGCCUUCGGGUGAGUGUACCUUUCGAAUAAGCGCCGGCUAACUACGUGCCAGCAGCCGCGGUAAUACGUAGGGCGCAAGCGUUAUCCGGAUUUAUUGGGCGUAAAGGGCUCGUAGGCGGCUCGUCGCGUCCGGUGUGAAAGUCCAUCGCUUAACGGUGGAUCUGCGCCGGGUACGGGCGGGCUGGAGUGCGGUAGGGGAGACUGGAAUUCCCGGUGUAACGGUGGAAUGUGUAGAUAUCGGAAAAGAACA
rnacentral:rRNA from 1 species